rnacentral:lncRNA from 1 species
GGUGCUGGUAUUUUUCAUUUAACAUAAGUAAAUGGUCGAAUUUUAUGUAGAAUCACUUUUUUUUUCUUAACAAGUUUUGGAUUUUAGUGGACAAAAUAAUAAAUAGAUGGAAACAAAACAAAGAGAUAAUAAGUAUGAAAUAAAUGAAAAUUAAUAGAAAAAUCUUUUUUUUUAAACAAUACACAAAAUCAUAGUCAACUGCUACCUAAAUCUUAUUUAAAUUCUAGUGUGAUUCAAUGAUAUAUUUAAAU